rfam:Betaproteobacteria bacterium CG2_30_68_42 cg2_3.0_scaffold_159_c, whole genome shotgun sequence.
CGGGGAAAACACGGACUCCCCAUCAGACGGUGUCCCGUCCAAGUUCCGU